GAAGUUGCGGAUGCUGUGGCUGAACAUAGAGUCCAGGUAGCCACUCCAGGCACGGGCCACGGCGGCGCCACCGAUGAUGUAUUCGAGGAGAACAUUCCAGCCAAUGAGGAAGGCCCACAGCUCACCCAUGGAUACGUAGGUGAACAGAGUCUCACUGUCACCCAGGCUGGAGUGCAGUGGCAUGAUCUCGGUUCACUGCAACCUCCGCCUCCUGGGUUCAAGGGAUUCUCCUGCCUUAGCCUCCUGAGUAACUGGGAUUACAGGCGCACAGAGUUUCACUUCACUCGUCCAGGCUGGAGUGCAGUGGUGUCAUCAACCCUUACUGCAUCCUCUAACUCCUGGGCUCAAGAGACCUUCCUGCCUCAGCCUCUCAAGUAGCUGGGACUAUAGGCUGCAGCUACCAUGCCUGGCAUCAACCAGAAUAUUCCAACAGCCUGCUGCUUCUAGUACUGAAGAUCCAGGGGAGAGCUGGGCCCGGCACCUGCCCAGGAUGGAGAGGAGCCUUCGGAAAUGCAGUUUCUCUGGCCUCGUUUCUCAACCCGUCCCUUUUUCUACCAGAAACCU
rnacentral:antisense_RNA from 1 species